UAAUAUGUAUGAAAGACUUAAGAAGUCCUUCUAUAUUAUUGGUUGAACCUUGUAGCCCUCUUAUAAACAUGCUCCUUAUUCGCUAAUCUUCACAUCCUCAGUAAAUUUCGAGACCAUUAGCUCUUGAGAAACCAAGAAAAAUGAGUUGUACACGCUCGUCUUGCAGGCCAGGCAAUAGUUGUGGCCCUUUCUGUUUAUACUAUGAUUCCAAUGCGUAUUAUAACCAUAUCGCACCGCAACUAAAAGAAAGAGAUGACAAGAUUGUCGAUGCACUAAAGCACAUCAACGUCAAUCAAAGAGGAGGCGGAGGAGGAGGAGGAGGUGGUGGUGGUAGGGGAGGAAACGGUAGCACACAAACAAUUAACAUAACUAUCCAGUCCAGAAAAUGAUCCUUCAACAUUUGGUCCUAUCAUAAGAUGUGGAAGUCCAAAUAGUCGCUUCUUCAGUUUCUUUGUAUGCGUGUGUUUAUGUUCGUGACUUCGGUGUGAUUCUCUUGAUAUAAUUGGAAUAGUAGCAAUAAAUGUGAACUGUAGUUUGUUGCAUAAUUAAGGGAAAUUGUUUGUUUUUUUUUUUAUUCUA